rnacentral:rRNA from 1 species
CACGUAGGGCGCAAGCGUUGUCCGGAAUUAUUGGGCGUAAAGAGCUCGUAGGCGGUCUGUUACGUCUGCUGUGAAAACCCGGGGCUUAACCCUGGGCUUGCAGUGGAUACGGGCAGACUAGAGGCAGGUAGGGGAGAAUGGAAUUCCUGGUGUAGCGGUGAAAUGCGUAGAUAUCAGGAGGAACACCGGUGGCGAAAGCGCUCAUCUGGCCCAAUACUGACGCUGAGGCGCGAAGGUCAGGGGAGCAAACGGG